CGACUGGAAUUGCCGAGGCCGAGAGUACAAGUGCGGCCAGGCAGAUGAUGGGUUUCCACGUCAUCUGUGGAUAGAGUUUAGAGGUCGUAUAAGGGCUUGAGAGGAAGGAAUAAGGAGUGAAAUUCAGAAAAACUACUAGGUCCCAGAAUU
ensembl:ncRNA C47G2.21 ncRNA